rnacentral:rRNA from 1 species
AACGAACGCUGGCGGCAAGCUUAACACAUGCAAGUCGAACGGAUUAUUCUUUAUAGCUUGCUAUAAAGAAUAGUUAGUGGCAGACGGGUGAGUAAUGCAUAGGAAUCUACCUAGUAGUAUGGGAUAGCCACUAGAAAUGGUGGGUAAUACUGUAUAAUCCCUGCGGGGGAAAGAUUUAUCGCUAUUAGAUGAGCCUAUGUUAGAUUAGCUAGUUGGUAGGGUAAAGGCCUACCAAGGCGAUGAUCUAUAGCUGGUCUGAGAGGAUGAUCAGCCACACUGGAACUGAGAUACGGUCCAGACUCCUACGGGAGGCAGCAGUGGGGAAUAUUGGACAAUGGGCGCAAGCCUGAUCCAGCUAUGCCGCAUGAGUGAGGAAGGCCUUAGGGUUGUAAAACUCUUUCAGUAGGGAAGAUAAUGACGGUACCUAC